UCCACCCUCAUACAGACUCUAUCAGUGUUUCAGCAAUGCCAAGUAAACCCGCACCUAUGAAAAAGCCUCCAGCCAAAAAGGCUGCAGAGAAAGCACCUGAGCCUGCUGCAGAACCUGAACCCGCCCCACCUGCUGAGGCUCCGGCCGAGCCAACGCCUGCUGCAGCUGCCCCGGCCGACGACAGUCCUGCAGCUGAGGGAGCUGCUCCAGCUGCUGCUCCCAUUGCUGAAGACAGUGCUGUGCUACCUGCUGCAGAUGCUCCAACAGAUGCUGCUCCAGCAGAAGCUGUUGCAGUUGAGGAAACCCCUAAAGCCCCAACACCUCCUCCCCCCGCAGUCCCCAGCAGCGCUCCUCUGGAUGUGGCUGUAGACGAUGUGAACGACACCAGCCUCACUAUCAAGUGGAAAACACCAGAGAAUGUCGGUGGCUCCGGCUUGAGUGGAUACACUGUCGAGUACCGCAAGGAUGGAACAACAGACUGGAUUGUAGCUAAUGGGGAGCUGAUCGUGGCUGAGCGCUACUGUAUCAGAAGCCUGGCAACCGGAGACCUGCUGCAUGUCCGCGUAGUGGCUGUAAACUCAGGUGGCCGCAGUGAACCUGGGUUGCUUCCAGAGCCGGUGCCUGUCCGGGAGAUUGGCGACAGACCCAAGAUCCGCUUGCCUCGUUUGCUCAGAUCCCGCUAUGUAGGGAAAGUUGGACAGCAGAUCAACCUGGUCAUCCCGUUUGUUGGGAAGCCCAAACCUGCAGUGUCAUGGCUGAAGGAUGGACAGCCUUUGGACACCAAGAGGGUCAACAUCAGGAACACCAACAGGGACAGCAUCAUGUUCAUCCGCAGUGCUCAGAGGGAGGACUCUGGAGUUUACGAGAUGACACUGAAAGUGGAAAGCCUUGAAGACAAAACAACCAUCACCCUUCAGAUUGUAGACCUCCCCGGUCCACCUGCUAGUGUUAAGCUAGUAGACGCGUGGGGCUUCAAUGCUGCCCUGGAAUGGACUCCUCCAAAGGACAACGGCAACUCAGACAUCACUGGAUACACUCUCCAAAAAGCCGACAAGAAGACCGGGGAAUGGUUCACGGUGCUGGAGCACUACCAUAGAUUAACAGCCACUGUCUCAGACCUCGUCAUGGGUAACUCCUACCUGUUCAGGGUGUUUUCCGAGAACCAAGUGGGGAGGAGUGAGAACGGUGCCGUUACCAAGACCGCAGCAACAAUCCAGAAAACGGGCAUUGUCUAUAAACCUCCUGAGUACCAGGAACAUGACUUCAGUGAGGCACCAAAGUUUACCACGCCCCUCAUCAACCGUGCAACCACUGUGGGAUACACUACCAAGCUGCUGUGUUCUGUUCGAGGAUGCCCCAAGCCCAAGAUCGAGUGGAUGAAAAACCAAAUGAUCAUUGGAAACGACCCCAAGUUUCGUCAGAUUUCCAACCAGGGCAUCUGCUCCCUGGAGAUCCGCAAGGCCUGCAGCUUUGAUGGUGGCGUGUACACCUGCAGAGCCAAGAACGCCCAGGGAGAAGCCAUGGUCUCCUGCAAACUGGAGGUCAAACAGGUUCUUCUUUCGGAGACUGAAAAAUAAAAAAGGGAAAUAAGGAAAAAAAGUAAUUUAAAUGAGCAGCAGAUGCCUGGGUCUUAAGAGUAUUAUAGUAAGUGAGUGAAGAUACUGCAGAUGGCUGUGCAGAAGCACGUACACAACGAAGACGGAGACAGAACAACAUGCCAACGUCCGUAUAUUUAUUUGUACACUAAACAUCAGGACUGUCCCUCAGACAUACGUUACACCUACUCUUACAAUCUCAUUUGGAGAAACCUGUUUUUGACAGAAAUGUAUGCAAAACUAAAUGUAUAGCUUUUUAUCCAAAUCUUGUGGAGAUUUAACAAGCAAUAAAACAAAAACAGUUCAUCAGAUGCAAUAACUCAUGUUAAUAAAAAACGUGUAUUUUACUACAA